CCUACGGGAGGCAGCAGUGAGGAAUAUUGGUCAAUGGGCGCGAGCCUGAACCAGCCAAGUCGCGUGAGGGAAGACGGCCCUACGGGUUGUAAACCUCUUUUGCCGGGGAGCAACGGUCGCCACGUGUGGCGCCACUGAGAGUACCCGCAGAAAAAGCAUCGGCUAACUCCGUGCCAGCAGCCGCGGUAAUACGGGGGAUGCGAGCGUUAUCCGGGUUUAUUGGGUUAAAGGGGUGCGUAGGCGGAGCGUUAAGUCAGUGGUAAAAUUGAGGGGCUAAACCCGUUCCCGCCAUUGAAACUGGCGCUCUUGAGUGGAAGAGAGGUAUGCGGAAUGCGUGGUGUAGCGGUGAAAUGCAUAGAUAUCACGCAGAACCCCGAUUGCGAAGGCAGCAUGCCGGCUUCCGACUGACGCUGAAGCACGAAAGCGUGGGGAUCGAACAGGAUUAGAUACCCCAGUAGUC
rnacentral:rRNA from 1 species